GAAGCUACUGUUUGACAUCAUACAGGUCAAGCACAAGUUCAAGCUGUUCUUCAUUGAGUCCAUCUGUGAUGACCCGACCAUUGUGGAGGCCAAUGUUUUGGAAGUGAAGGUCUGUAGUCCAGACUACAUUGGGAUGAAUAAAGACGAGGCAGUGCAGGAUUUCAUGAGGAGAAUCGAACACUACAAUGACAUGUAUGAACCGCUGGACCAUACCACAGACAAAGACCUGUCUUAUAUACAGAUCUUCAACCAGGGUGAGAGAUUUCUAGUACACAAACUUGCAGGUCAUCUACAGAGUCGAGUUGUAUACUACUUGAUGAAUAUUCAUGUAUUACCUAGGACGAUUUACUUGACAAGGCAUGGAGAAUCUGAGAUGAACUUGCAGGGAAGAAUUAGAGGAGACAGCAACCUCUCACCCAGGGGAGAGGAAUAUGCUGUAGCUUUGGGGGAAUAUGUGGAAAAGGAAAAAAUUGCUAAUCUGAAGGUGUGGACGAGUGAGCUAAAGCGUACCAAAGCCACGGCCAGACACGUGGAUGCACCCGUGGAAAACUGGAAGGCCCUCAAUGAAAUUGACGCCGGUAUCUGUGAAGGCAUGACGUACGAGGAGAUCCAAGAGAUGCACCCCAAGGAGUUCGCCCUGCGUGACCAGGACAAGUUCCACUAUCGGUACCCAGGAGGGGAGUCAUAUCAGGACCUUGUAGCGAGACUGGAACCCGUCAUAAUGGAGCUAGAGAGACAGGAGAAUGUGUUGGUGGUCUGUCAUCAGGCCGUGGCUCGAUGUCUGCUGGCCUACUUCCAGGACAAAUCCUCAGAUGAAAUCCCAUAUGUGCCGGUUCCCAAUGAAGCGGUGGUCAAAAUGAGAAUGUCGGGCAGCGGUUGUGAGUGUGAAAACAUGCAUCUGUUAGACCCCAGAAGACCUGGCCUAUCUCAAGGUCCCACUUCACACUGUCAUCAAGCUGACCCCAGUAGCUUAUGGCUGUAGAGUGGAGUUUGUCAGCCUUAACAUUGACGCUGUCAACACACACAGGGAAAAACCCAAGAACGUGAAACCUGAUAGAAGCAUUAACGAAGCUCUGGAGACCGUACCAGAGCAUAUAUGAGGUCGUCAUAGAAAAACUCCAGGACAAAACCAUGGUAACUAUGUAUCUGAAGUUACCAUUAACCAAAGAGACAGGGACAUACAACAUCGUCAUCUAAACCAAAAAAUAUGGCAACACAUGAGAUUUAUCAUAAGCGGGUGAAAUUUUCAGAUAAAAAUCCCAAUAUGUGUGCUGCUAGUUGGGAAUGAAAGGAGUUUUCAGUUCUGGUAUUUUGGUCAUCUCAUACAUACACUAAAAUGGUGUUUCUGACUGAAAUCAACCGAACAGUACGAUUUCAGUUUGUUACAGAUUACAUUGACAAUGCCAAUGAUGGACCGUGUCUUUGUCAUAUCAAACGGUUACUUUUUUUAACAGAAUGGUUAUUGUGUUUUCAGCUAAGAUUUUUAUGUUCUUUUGCAUAUGAUAACAUAUGUUUUUAAGAUGAUUCAUUUUGACUGUGAUAUAAAUGGAAAUAGAGUUAAGAAUAUUUAGAUAGUUUAUUUUGAAUUCCAAUAUCCUGUUUUCUUUAUAUAUUAAAACCUGCCAAUUCUUCUCAUUAUGAAUGAAAACGAAACCCCAACAGAUAACCAAAUUCUUGUCUGUUUUAUUUUUUCAUUUUUUAUAAACCUUUGGACCACAGUUUUAACCAAUAUCUAAGGCCAAUGGUUUUUUUUUUCUGAAAUAAUCUUCGAAUGUUCGAUUUUAAUUAAAUCCUAAGGCAUUAUAAAUGCUGCAAAAGUACACUACACAUGAUUUUUUGUAUUAAGAAAGGACUAUAUGUUGGAUUUUGAUUUCAGAAGCAAUAAUUUAAAAACAUCUGAAUUAUAUCUGCUUCAGUGUUCCAUUUAUGGCCAUUUGAUAGAGUAACUAAUUUUUAUAUUUGUCCUAACAAUCACUGGUUGAUGUAAAGUUUUUGGUAGUAAUCAUGAAUGUGUUUUGCAAUGUCUAUUUAUAUGAAUCCUCACAGUUAAACAUUUUCACUUUGAUAUGUUAUCAUAUAUACAUGACUGUCCAUUGUCCAUGUAAUUUAAUGUACAUGUUUCUGUAAAAGUUGGUUUCCUACCAGGAUAUCUUUGUUUUAACAUAAAUUAUAGAAAUCGGGGUGAAUUUAUUACACUCUCUAAAAAUAAAUGAUUUAUGUAAUAUUACUGAUGAAAUAAAAUACGCAAUACUUUU
rnacentral:sRNA from 1 species